rnacentral:lncRNA from 1 species
AGGAAAGGCUCUUACACCUUCUACUGGCUGCGUCCUGACUGCAGUGAUUGGGUCAGGGAUGUCACAUGACCUCCACGUAUCCAAUCAGAGUGAGCGUCAGGACCAGCCGGGCUGACUGGAAAGCCUUGGCCAUGAGAGGAGGUGAGGACGGCGCUCCGCCGCCAUCUUGUCGCCGUCGAGGGGCCUGGAGGCAUCAGGUGAGGGAGAUGGGGUCCCGUUCAUGAAGCCAGACGGCCGAGGGGAAGAGCCGAGGUGCAAACCGGAGUCCGUGACGUCCUGCAGCCCUGGAUCCGGGGUCCCGAGGGGCCUGCCCUCCGCUCCUGGGCCCGCGGGGCGGACGCGGCCGUCUCUCAGCCGGUGGGCGGCCGAGGGCCUGUCGUCGUCGCGAGCUCCGCCCUGUGCAGCCGGGCCCUGCUCCGCCUGGUCGCCUGGUUGGAGGGAGGGCGGCUCGGCCUUGAGAGCGGGACGGCCCGAGGCCGGCGUGUCCGAGUCUCCGCCGGCCCACCUCUCCGCCCUCGGCCCACGGCGGCGGCGUGUGACGGGGCCGCUCCCGGACAGUCCCGGGGAGCCGGUGGGAGGAACACCCGACGCCGCAGGAGGUGGAUCAGGUCAGCAAGACGCGUGACACGGUGUGUAAAUGUUUUGCAGUGAAGGCUUCAUCUCUUAGAUAAAAAAGAGCUUGUGCGGAAGUUCCUCGUUGACUUGCUUCAUAAAUCUCCCCAGGUUACGUCCUGCUGCAGAGGCCUGUGUGGGCCCCUCCUGUUAGCGGAGGUGGGGCUCAGCUGGGAUGCGGUAACUGCCGAGCUAGGACGUGGAGAGGCCCCCAGGUGGUAGGGGGCCCUGGACAUCUCCAGAAUCGGGGUGAGCUGCUGUUAGACAAGGGAACACUCCCGUUUACUGCACCCACUGCUGACAGCCCAGAGGAAGACGAGGCCGGGACCCUCACCAGGUUGUAGUGGAACGAGGAGACUGAUGCUGCACGGGACUUUCUGUCCUGGGAGCGUGUUCUGUUCACCUUUCACGUGGCCUGGGAUUGCUCUCCCUGCUGUGGGUCAGCACUCACAAAGCCAUGGAUAACCUGCCAGGCGGGCGCCGGUGGACGCUGUCCCUGGGAGCUGGUGUCUUGUGCCAGGUCCCGAGGGGACUCUCACCCAGGAUAGGCCGAGGAGGCUGUGUCAGGGAUGUUUGCUGUGAGGCUGCUCUGAGCCAAGCUCCCUCCCUCCCUUCCUCCCCUCCACGUGGUGCGCACAGGGGGUCAGAAAAGGGGGAAGUGCUAAGUUCUGGGUGAAAAUCCAUUGCGUUUCCGCUGUCUCCAAAUUCCUGAUGCUUGGCACUGGCCAGAGUCCAGGUCUGCAGCUUGGACCCGGAGCAGCAUGACGCGUCCCUGGCAGAGAUUGUGUCCAUGACUCAGGUUCCUGGGGAAGUGAAAGCCCCUCCUGUAAACCUCCGUGACUUCCAGAGCUCCACCGUGACAGGACCGGGACCCUCACCUCUGCACUCAGACUCCAGAUGCCCCGGUGCUGCCCACACGGGACAGGCUUGGGAGCCGGACCAUCUCAUUAUGGGAGCUCAGCCACAGCUCAUCCUCGGCUCGGCUCCCAGAAUGUCCUGAUCCCCAGUGCUCCUGGCAGAGCACUGAGAACUGGGAAAGAAGGCUCUGCGCAAGUUAAAAUGCAUAAGGCUUUGAAAAGACAUCAACGUCAAUUUCAGUUUCAAGAACAAAAUGCAUUUCGUAGAACAGCGUCACAAUUACCUUGCGUUAUAAACACCCAAAUCCUGUUCGCACCGUCUGCACCCUCAUUUGUUAUGUAUUGUCUUAGUGCAGAGUGACACCUGCCUUCGCUUUAAUUAAAAGCUCAUAAUGUUCAAAUGUACUUAGAAGGAAAAAGGACAGAAUUCUCCUUUGGGGAUAAUUAUGUGCUUGUUACAGCUUGUUUACUACACCCCAGGGAGUGUGUGACUCAACCCACCUGCCCGUCACGGACCUUGCUGGAGCUUUGUCAUCAGCUGCAGGUGCUGAGAGGAUCUGAUGGCAGGUGCCUUCCUGAUCAGGUGAUCAAGAAUUUGGACUGUUUACAGCCCCAAGACCACUGCAAGGUCAAAGGGUAUUCUAGGCCCGCCGGAGGGCCAGUCAGGAAGGAAGUCAGCACCUCCCAGCCUGCAUACCAGAGCGCUCUGGGUGUGGGCCAUGGUCAGGAGGCAUUUUCCCAGGGAAGAAGCCGUCCCUGAGUUAGCAGACCGUUCAGCUCACUCACUCACUCCUUACUUCACGCAUUCAAAAUGUGUUUUCAGAGGGACCAGGCUCUGUCCUUGGUAUUGAAGGUACAAGUCAUAGCACAGCAGACUCGACCCUGCCCUCAAGUUCCCCAUCUAGAGAGGGAGACAGGCAAGGAGUGACCACUGUAAAGACAGAAUUGCGAACUGUAACGGACAUCAGGACAGAAUUCCAGGGAGCUUUGGGAACGUAUGACAGGGAGGGUCAGGGAGCUGACAUCUGAAGGAUGUGCAGUCAAGGACAGGACAUUCCAGGCAGAGGAAACAGCCAGUGCAAAGGCCUCGGGGUGAGAUGAUGCAGACCCCUUAGACACAGAAGUCAUUGUACCAAUAUGUGACACUGACAUGGGGUUCUGUGCUCACUGCUGUGAAUACACCUCCCCGUUUAAUUCUCAGUCCAGCCUCAGGAGUAAAGACAAGCUAAUGAGCACAUCAACACCAUCAUUCCCACUCCAUGGAUGAGGAUGUCGGAGCAUGUUGUGGAAGUAACUUGCCUAAGUUUACACAGCUCAUGAGUGAUGGGGCUACGACCUGACCCAGGCCACCUGGCUCCCUGUGCUGAGCUGCUUUAAGAUCUCUCAGUGUGGCUUCAGCUCUAAGAGGAGGUGGAGCAUGAUGUGAAGAGAUUGGGUGUGGGCAGGACCAGAGCCAGAGCAUGAGGGCCUGCAGGCCAUUGCAUCUGUCAGGAUCCUUUCUGUUGUGAGCAACAGCAAACUUAAACCACACCAGCUUAAAUCAAAAGAGAUGUUACUGGUGCACUUACCUGGAAUGUCUGGGGUGUGUUUCAGGCCUGGCUUGAUCCAGGGGUUCAAGUGACAUCGUCAGGGCCCACUCUUUUCUCUCCUCCUCUGUGCUGGCUCUGUCCAGCAACUGCAACCUUAACAUCCUCCUGAUUCCUGAUUCGAGUCUCAAGAAACACUGACUACCUCUUCAUAGCCAUUCAAGCAGAUCAUUUAUAGAGAGGCCUUGAUGGAGUUCAGUCACUACACCAUCCAAAUGGUCUCAAACACAUGUUGCUCUCUCAAGGCUGCUUCUUCGAACAUGGCUUCCACUGUGGGAACGGUGGACAGGGGAUACAAUCCAAGGAUGAGAUGGGUGAGGAGCCUUGGAUCGCCCAGGCCAGCUCUCAGGUCAAGCAACCAGCAGUCACAUCCUUCUGUGACCUCCUCCAACAGUGGGGUGGAGGGCUCGGCCCAAAGAAGAGGGUGUGCUGUGGGCACCUGCAGCAGGCACUCUCUGGGUGCCUACCCUGUGCAGGCGCUCUCCCAAGUGCUAUCCGGCUAGACUGUGAGCAGCACAAGAGCAGGGCCAGUAUGUCUUUAGUCACCAUGAGACACGUUAUUUAUAACAGGAAGACAUUUGAAAUGUCUCCGUUUUCAACAACGUGGCAUUAAAGGAAUAACAACUCAAAAAGCCAUGUAAGAUGCUGUUGAUCCCACGUCAGACUUCCCCGGUGAGAGUCUGCAGGGGGCGCCUAGGGCUCUGUCUGUUGUUAAAGGCACCUUGGGUGAUUCUGAUCUUCCCCAGAGGAAACCAUCAUCCUUAGUGGGGUAUGUUUAAUGACUUGAAGACAAAGGCCCGUCAUGUGAUUGAAUAAGGACAUGGGUUACCAUAAAGUGCAUAGAGUGAGCCAAUUUUCAUCCAAAAGACUGAACUUCUGUGUAUGUAGGUGCACAUGUGCGCACACAGUCACACACACAGGCACCCUCUGCACCAGAUAUCUCCAGUGGUUCUUUCUUGAUGAGAGGAUUAUGGGUGAUUUUUUUCUUCCUUUUACUAACAUACUUUAUUUUUUAAACAGCUUUAUUGCGGGGUAUAUAUAUAACACUUUAAAUUUUUCUACAGUAAAUACACAUUUUGUAACCAAAAGUUAUUUUUACAAACAGCAGAUGACCUUCCAAACGCAGUGGUUGGCAACUGGAUACCAGGGAAUGGACAAACCAAGUGGAAAAAUACUGGAACCAAAAAACUCCACUGUAAACCCUGGUUAGAGCCAGGGCAACUGAUGAGAGUUGUGAGAGUUGAAGCAACUAUAAAGAAAUCUGUCUGGUAGGGUUCGAUGUGCAUGCGCUGCUUGUGGAAUUGUUCAAGCAUCUAUUCAAAAAAAUUUUUUAAAUCAAUAAUGUGCUGUUGGCAUAAAGUUAAAUGAUCAUUUUUCAAAAAAAAAAAAUGAUGUGUGGGAAUGUUUUCCCUGGCCAUUGGCAAAAAUCUUUCCCCUGGCCAGGAAGAGCACACAAGCACAGGCAGAGUCGGAGGCUGGAUCCCAGAGGCCAGGUGAUCCCAGGCAGGCUCCCUGCCCUGCAGGGCAGCAGAGGGAUGAGGAGAGGACACUGAGGGCCGCAGGGCCCCAGAGAAGAUGGGAGGAUAGGGAGGGAGACGGACCCUCUGAUGUCAGAUCUGCUGUCCCGAGGGGUGCUUGCAUCCUCAGUGCUGCAAGUGAGGUCAGUCAGGCUGCCUGCCCGCAGCCGCCAGUUUCCAAUCAAGCACUGGAAAAGUUGAAUGAAGGGAAUCUUAAACCAGUGGCCUGAUAACCCACCUACCAGACUGUUAAUGCACCACUGGAUCCUUCCCGUGCUGCUGGUAAGUGUCACCUACCGAUGCCCCAGCUUCCUGAUUUACUCUGCAAGACUGUGCUGUGGAAUGAAGCCCGCAGGGCAGCCAGGUGAAGAGUAAUGCAGUGGCCCCAGGCCCCUUGAGCUUUGAGAGCCCUCGCUUCCCACCCGGCCCAUCCUCCUUCAGGCCUCUCUGCUGACUGCUUCUUCCUUGGGCCUUCUCUUGUGGGCAGGAGCAGAGCAGGAGCUGCCCUGGGGGGACCCCAGCAGGCAGGUGAGUUCUAAGCCCCUGUUACCCCAGGUGUGGUCGGGGGACCUGCAGCCUGGCAUCCCCUGGGAGGCUGUUGGAAAUGCAGAAUCCCAGGCCCCAGCCAGUCCUAGGAAUCAGCAUCUGCCAUGUAACCAGCCCCAGGAGACUCAUGAGCACGGUGCACUCUGAGGCGCUCAGGGCUCAGCCACAGCCAGCGGGCAGCUGUCUCUCCAGUCAGCACAGCACAGAGGGGGAGAAAUGCCCCUGUUGUGACUGCAUCAAAUAGGGUGAGAGUCAGCUGUGAGCAACUGGAAACCACAAUCCACAGGAACUUGGAGAAGACAGAGGUUUACUUCUCUCUCACAAAAACAGAGCACAGAGAAGUGUAGUGCAGGACUGGCUUGAUGGUUCAGUCAUAAGGGAAGGAGGCUCCUCUAUCUUGUUUCUAGGACGUCCUCAAUAUCUGAUCCUUCCUUAUGUUCCAAAAUGGCCGCUUGAGCUCCAGCCCUCACAUCUACAUUCCAGCUGCACAGGGCAGGCAAGCCACCAUCCUUACCCGACUCUACUCUCCAGACCUUCUCCAGUCACCUCCAAGCUUGGGGACCAGCUUCGCACAAAGCCAUGGCAGCUUCGCCUGCAUCCUGGGAUGAGCCCUGGGGAAGUCAAAGUAAUCCUCCCAGCAGGGCCAGGCAUGAGCAUUCUGACUGCCCUGAGCUCCUCACCCGCACCCCCCACCCACCCACCCGUGGAAAGAGCCUGUCCAGCAUCCAUCUAUAGGACCCACCAGGGAGAGGAGAGAGAAAAUCGGUGCUCUUAGGAAAAAUCUCUCAAAACCCAGGAGAUCUGUCAAACCAGGAAUCGAACAGAGGGACAGAUCUGUUUGCAAUCUGACUGACAAGCUCAGCUUGUUCACCUGAUAGAAGCCGAGGAGAUGCUGGGAUACGCGCUUAUGUGAGCAGGCUACACAGCGCUGGGCCAGGCCACUGUCUCAUGUAUCUGGACAGACUCCAUUAGGCCCAUUCCUCUUGAUUAAAUCUCCUCUAAGGAUGCUUGUUGGGUGGAGGGGGAAUGAUCACACGUAUCCAGGGGAGGUGCCAGGAAGCAGGUGGUGGCCCGUCACCCUCUCCCCGCCCUAAGGUCAUGAGUUGGCUUCACCCCCAACCCCCAGCCCCUGUCCUCAGUGAGGAGCAGUGUUCUCCCAAAUGGUCUUUCUGACUGGUGGCUGCUUUUUGGUUUCAUCUUGGUUCUCUCUGAAACAUUUUAGAUAACUGAGUAGUUCCUCCAGAUAUAUCAUCAGCGGUUUUGUCUGGCACUGCAUUUUUUGUUUUCUUCCUGUGUCUCUGAUUCUGUAUCUGCUUCCAUCAUUGUCUCUCCUCCUCAUGACUCCGAAAUACAGACAUUCCCUAAGACUCAAUAUUGGCCACCUUCUCUUUGUAAACUCUCCCUUGGGAUUCCAUCUACCCACCAUGGUCCAAGUGUCAUGGGAAUAGCUCUUAUCUCUGCAUCUCCAGCCCUGACUCCUUCUCCAGACUCCACUUCCGCUGAAGUCCUGCCAUGUGACAUGCCUGAUAGGCUCAGGCUAGAUCCAAUUGUGUGACCUCUCAGUACCAGCUCCUGCCAUCUUGUUCAGGGCAGCCCCAUCCCUCCAGCAUCCAGGUACCGAAUGUUGAUGCCUUCUUUGACUCCAUGAAAUCUGCUCAUGACCCACGUCCAAUCCAAGACUAAGAUACAGGGGUCUCUUGGAUCUGUAUCCAGACAAAAUGGGUGUCUUUGAUGGCAUUUGGUGACACCAAGAGAGCUAGAAUCCUGUGCAGGUCGAGUCUCAACUCACUGAAAAGCAGGGCAGUCUCCAUCCACUGAGCACCAUUCUCUCACAAGAGACAUUUGGGCAGUACUCUCCAAAGGCCCACUCUUGGGAUUCGUAAAUGCCUACAACAAAUCCCCUGCUGAGGAGGUGCGGCUGAUGGGGCAGCACAUCAGAGGCUGCUGUCGUUUCUUAGUCAGAUGGCCACCGAGCAAAUGCAAAAGAUCAGCUCCCAACACCAAGGCAUCCAAGAGUCACACGCAGGAAACGGGCACCCGAGGUUGAAAUGUGUCACCCAUCCUCUGGAGGUGCUGUGACCUCCACACAGAACAAUUUGGAGUCUCUCGGCAGGUGAUCACAGCCCUCUCACCUGGCAGGUGGCUGAGUUAACAAUGUGCUGCUGCGACCUAUCAGCUUUGGGAGAGGAUCUCCUACAGCUCAGAAGGACUCAUGAUAUAGAACGUUCCAAACCGAGCUGUCAGAUUGGUUGUUCAAUACACGGCCCCUCGCUCAGUCCAUAGAGCCCACAUCUGUGUGUGCUGGAGACACUAAUAAGGCUGUUGGUGCUGGGUGAUGGAGGAUGAUGUCCCCAAUGGUCAGCACUGAGGGCUGUGACCUCCCACCAAAGAAAGAAGUCCUGAGAACUGCACACCGAGGAUAGAGCCACUUUUAGCAGAGAAGAGCUGGGCUAUCCCAACCCAGGAGAUUUACUGGUUUCCUUAGAGUAUGUUUGUCUCAUUCUGAUGGUUGAUCUCUCAUCGAGAACCAAAGUUAAAAUUGCUUCCAAGAUAAAGGCAAACACCCGGUGCCCAUUCUUCCCCCCUGCUCACUGAUGGUGUCUGAGGAGAGCCCUGAGCUCCUGUUGGUGGACAGGACUUACUAGAGCAGAGACUCCCAGACGUCAGCGUGCAGGAGCGUCCCCUGGAGGGCCGGGCCCCACCCCAGAGUUCCUGACGGAGCAGGUCUGGAGGUCAGGACUGACAGCUUGUUUCUGAUAAGUCCCCGGGUGACGCUGAUGCUGCUGGUCCAGGGACCCCACUUUGAGAAACACUGGAAUUAUGUGAAAGGAGCAACAUCCCAAGAUGGCGCAGGACCCAGUACUCAGCACGUCCCCAUAUAAUUCAGAUCCAAAGAGCAGGCCUUCCAGGGCUGGUCACUGACCUGAGGCAUUAGUGAGGGGGGAACCCAGGGUUCCUUUGAGAGGUGGCCCAAGUUAACCUGUGGUCAGAGAUGGCCCUGGCCAGUGUCCCUCUCCCACCCUCUGCCUUUCACUGGCCCCAACACAGGGUCUUACCUGUCUGAGACAUGUGGUCCAAGCCAUUCGAUCGUCAUGGUUUUAGUCAGGGUUGUGUGGCAAAACCCCCACCAUGUCAGUUUGAGGCUACAUUCUGCCAGGGCAGUUCCUCAGAGAUGACCCCACCUCUCCAUAUAGUCAGAGAAUGUAAAACAAAUUAAAAGUAAACUUGAAAAACUGGCACAGUGGUGGUGGCUGUCCGGGGGGACAAACCCUUCCAAACUGGUACCCACAAGCCUGGACGCUGCUGCUGCACCCCACCCCUCAGCGUUGGUGGGAGUCUCUCAGGGCCAUCUGCUCAGGGAGGCAGCCAUGCUUCAGACAGGUCUAUUCUUGCUUUAAUUAAGAUUCCCGUUGGUCUCGUCCUGCUCCUGGGGUUUCACUUCAUAUUUUAAAGGGCAGGUCUCAAGAUGGUAGAUGAUCUCAGAGAGCCCGGCAGGGGGCUGCAUGACUUACAGACACUCAGUGAGUGUGCGGUGACUGACCUGCCUGCACGCCCUCUACCUGGUUUUGUCACAUGCUUUGUCUUUAUCUCCUGGGUGUCAGAGUCAUGCUGGGGCACCCCGAGCAAUGGCCAGGGAUUCUCUGCCGUGUGCCUGCCUCUCCCAUGGGUCCCUGCUGCAUCUCCUGCUGUCCCAGAGCAAUGCCUCCUCAUGGUUGGCUCAUUUGGAAGCAGGGGCGUUGCUGAGCAUAGUGAUACCCACCCUGAGGAGUGGGGAUGGGAGGGAGGAGGUGGGGGUCCUGGUGACACCCACCCUGGGGAUGGGAGAAGAAGGGGGCAUUGAAGUGACAAAGGCCGGGGCUUCAUGGAUCUUGUGCCUAGUAUCUUCCUCCCUCUCUUCAGUCAAGAUGACAGAGACCCUGUGUUGUAGAUUGGGUGGAGGCUUGAGCGCAGCCCCCUCGUGAGUUCUCAUCUGUGCAGUCACACUGUUCUGAUUCUUUGGGAUUCUUGACCAACACUCGACACCUGGUGAGCGCCGUCUCCUCCUCAUCACUCCAGGAUUCUCUCCUCCGUGAGCUCUUCCUCCCUCCCACACUGGAGCUCUGACGCUGGAUCCUUCACUCCCCUAGGGCACCUGGUGUGCCUCAGUUUACCCCUCAUCGCUGGGCAUGGUGACAGAGUCUGUCUCCCUCACGAGACUUGGGGUUCCCUAAAGGCUGGACUUGUCUUCAUCUCUGCAACCCCGAAGCGCAGCCCAGUGCCAGGGAGCAGGGGCUCUUGGGAAGGGGCGCUGAGUGAAUGAAUCAAUGAAUGAAUGAUGAACACAUGCAUGAACAUAGAAAGUGCCGCCCGUGGAUCCAGCGUCUCCCAGGAGGAGGUGUGACAUGGCCAUAAUGAACUUCCAGGUCAGAAGCCCGAGGUCCCGGCACCGACAGCUCCGGGCCACAAAUCCCUGGAAAACUGAGGACUGUCCGGCAUGGCAGCUCUCGGGAGCUGCAGUGUUUCCACGAAUUUAAUACCGUUGAAAUAAAACCCCUGAGUCUGGGAAAUGAAAUACCAUGAAUUGCUCAGCGUCAGUCUUUAGAUCCUGGAAAACCCCUGUCUGAGAGGAGCAGCCACUGCGAAACAGGCAUGAAAUGCGCUACUCUUAAAGAGAUGGUUUAUCUUUACUUAAAAAGUAAAGCACUAAAGGGAGAUCUUGGGAAAAACUCCUCUAGUUGAAGCUCUCUGAAGAUUCCUGUUAACACGGUCCGAGCUGUCAGGGUCCCCUUGUCACAUGCAGAAAGACAGGAGUCACUGCACUGGGAGGAGGCCCCGGGCAGGUGGGGGAUGCGGCCCGGAUGCCCUUUACUCCCAAUGCUGUUGCCUCCUCUGCUCCCCCAAGCCCACCCUGCUUCAGGCUCAGGCCCCGCUUGAGUCUCCACCUCCCACAUCCUCGGCUCAUGUGGGUGGUUCCAUGUGGGUCUUACCCUCACUCCCCCACCCCAGGACCCCGGAUCUCACUGUGAAAACUGGAUGCUCUCUGCUUCUUUCUGGGGCGUUUGUAAUCAUAACCAAUAAAUAAAUUAAAAAGAAAGUGGAGGCCAGCGCUGCUGAGGACUCCUGAGGAAGCAUCUCAUCCCUUAGUCGCUGGAUGCUGAGCUGCUUGGCACAAAAGAAAAAGACCAGAUUGAAACCAAGAGACGAGGAGGAGAAGGAGCCACAGAAGUUUUCCAAGGACGCUGUAAUGCUGUCCUCCUCCCUGGCUCCCAGAGCUCCUGGGUCGGCAGCACCAGCCCAGGCAGGCGAGGGUUACACAAAUGACACCAAGAGGAGAGCGAGGAGUGUCCUGGGGGUCAGGCUCGGCCACUUAAAGAGCAGGAGCUGCAGGGCAGGGGUUGCUGGGUUCUGUGACGGAGUCAGGGUGUCCGUCCAGAGAGAUGCGGCCUGAACUCCCCCAGGAAGGUCACACCCUCCUGUCACGUGCAGCACCCGGGAGGGCACCGUGGGCAGUGCCACCAGCUGUGGUUCUGCAGAGACUCAGAAAUGCACUCCCAAUGCACGGUCCCUACCACCACCCCCCCCCCCCCCCCCCCCCCCGUCAGCCUUUCCCUCAGAAGAUGAGAGACAAGGUGGUGGAGGAAGGCUGCUUCCUGGGGGCUGAGGGGUGAGAGCACAGGGGUGGGGUGAGCACCCAGAUGUUUGGGGACCAGAGAGCAGUGGUCCCACUGGUGCCAGGCUGCAGGGGAGUAGAGAAGGGCUGGAGACAGACUGGCGGCCCUGAGCCCAGGGGGGCCUUGGGGAGCUGAGGGUGGAGGGAGGGAGGACGGAGACGGGCCAGCCUCACAGGACAGCACUGCCUGUUCCCACUGAUGGAAGAGGAAAGGAAGUGAUCCCUGACCCUGAGCAUCUCUUCUCCCCCGGGCCACAGCCCUCCACGGUUUCCAGAGCCCAAAAGAGCCCAGGAGGGCCGGAACCUCUUGUCUGUUUAAUUUACAGUGUUUGGAAUUCAUUACAGAAUAAUUGUCUUAUUGAUCAGCUGCUGGCAUAUUUACUGUUUUCCCUUUCAGAUCAGAAAUGAUAUAGUGUAACUAAAGUAACUUUAAUUAUGUCAGUGCUUGGGAAAUUUGAAAGUUACUGGCACUUUAAAUAUUACCUUUUAAAUUCUGUGAAACGGAAGUGACCCUCCAUGGCAAAAUUUCAGCAUGGAGGGCCAGUGCCCUGGGCAGUCUCACUCUGUCUUCACGCCUCAGGCGCCUGUCUGCCCUGACCCUCUCCCCCUAACUCCAAUCCGAGGGUGAGGGUCCCCUGUGUGCUCUGUCCACUGGCUGCAGGGUGAGCUUCCCCGCAUGUCCCCUCUUGUUCUGGAAGGAACGGCCUCAUCCCAGGUGUGACAUCCAUUUAUCUGUUGUGCCCACCACUGUCCAUGCCCUAACUGUUCAUAACAGCCCGAAAUUCCCUGUGGGGAGCCAGCUCCCACUCACUUCUUGGCCCUGUGGUUUGGGGGUGCUGACUGCACCCCACAGGCGGAGUGGACCGUGUGACUCAGGUCCAGGUUAACUGGUGACUUCCAUUCCUCUAUGACUGGUUCAGGGUGGACAUGUGGCCCAGCCCGUGUCUUGGCCCGUGGACUCAGGACCUCUGCCUGAACAGGUUGGGUAGAGGUUCCUCCCUGUGUCACCAGGAGGUGGCAUCCACCUCAGCUUGAAGCUGACACAGAGGAUGCGGAGCUGAGAGAUGCGAAGAGAACAAGGUCCUGGUGAUUUUAUUGUCAAAUAGGGUCUGGACUUUUCAGUGACCCGUGUCAGUAAAUCCCCCUUUCCUUUAGCCAGUUUGUGUUGGGUUUCCUGUCCCUUGUGUUUAGCAGAGCUCUAACUAAUACGGGGUCAGGAAACCCCAGAGGACAGCCAGUGUGUGGGAGGAGUCCCUGCCCAGAGACACCUGCUCCUCCCGUGGAUGGACCAGCCCCAGAGCCACCAGGACAUUCUACCCUGCUGGUUGAAAGGGUUAAGGAUUGAUGGUGGGGAGGGGGGUGUAUUGGGGGUUUCUCUAGCACAUGUCCAGGCUCUCACUUCCCACCCUCACCCCAGGCCAAGGGCUGUGUGAUCCAUGGAGACCACAGCAGAGGGUUCAUCUUCUGCCCAACAACCCCUCCUUGCUAGGAACUUGCUGGAAGGUUCCCCUUGGGGUCUGUGGGGCUGGGCAAGGGGAGGGGUCUCUGGCAGAGGCUCCAGCACAGCCUGUCCCCUCCACUCCCCCCCAGUUUCCUUCUGCUACAGAGUCCACAGCUGAAUUCAUGGGCUGUGCUGUGACCAGUGACCCCUUCCUUCCUUUUGAAAAACUCAGAGAUCAUCUGAAAGAUCUGAUCCACCUUAUUUGCCUCAGUUUCCUUUCUGUAAAAUGAGGGUACUACCACUCUCUCCCUGGGUCUGGGGAGGGGGAGCCGAGGUCAGGGAUGCAGCCGCCCCACAGACGUCUGCACACAGUGAGUGUCCGGAACACCAGUGCCCCGCGUGGGCUGGCUUGUGGUGAAUAAUUGCAGGGAAGCCGCACUCAACCCACGGGAGAGCCAGCACACACGGGAAGUAUUACCUGUGAAGUAUAGCUUCAUUGCUCUUUCAUGAAUAGCGGUUGCCAGAGCUUGGAUAACUCACAUCAUUGUUGCUUUGAUGCGUGAAGAGGAUUUGCAAUGAUACAUUUAAUUGCAAUCACUGGAAAUUGAUGUUUAUGCUGUGGACCAGACUAUGUGACGUGUUCCAGGUAAACACUUUUUGCCUCCAACACAGGGUCAGAUUCAACCCAGUUUUUUGUCUCAAUUGUUGGACUCAGGACUAUGGGCAUCCCUGAGAAUUAUUCUCCUAUAAAGGUGUUUCUGGCACCCUCUUUCCUGGUUCGAUGGGGCUCCUGCAGAGCUGGGCUCGCCCUCUUUCCUGGUGCUCCCCAGUCCCGAGGACCCCCUGGUUUCCACUCCCUCUGCACCAGUUCCUGUGACACUAACAGAAGUCUGAGCUGGGGGACAGAGGACUGAGCACCUGCACUCCCAUCUGUCCUGCCGCAGGAGGAAGACAGGGGCGCAGGUGCACCCCAGGCUGCCUUUAGGAGCUGGAAUGGCAGGUGUCUGGGGAACAUGCACUGUGGGAAAUGCGGAGUUUUCCUCGGGAGGGAGUGCAUCCAGGAGGCUGGUGUCCUGGGGACAGGGGUCCACGCCUAUCACGCCCAGGACGGCACUCCCCUCGCUGGUUCCCACACCAUCUACUGGCCGGCCUCUCCCUGCCUGGUUCGGCGCCAGCCUCCAGGGCCUCCAUUUGGGGCCAGAACCCCAGGGCCUUUGUGCCCACCCUCUUCCUCUGAGCAGUCAGGUCUCAGAUCAAUGGAGCCUUUCCUCACGCGUAUCCCAGGAACACGGCGGAGGCUCUCGGGCCAUGUCCUUUCCCAACAACUCAGGCCUGCCUUCCUCACUCCUAAUUCCAUUUGUAACAACUUGUUUUUCUGUUGAUUUACUCAUUUAAGGACGUCCUCCCCACUAGCAUCUGUUGGUCUGUCCCUGACCUUGCUCUGCAGUCUUCACCUGGGCAAGUUGUCAAGGGUUCCGUCCCCUGAACCUGGAAGUCUGGCUCGUUCUCACCCCUCCCCUCAUGCUCACAGGAGCUUGUUUCUGAACCGGAUAGCCAGGCCCGUGGUCUCAAAGGCCCAAGGAUGCUUCUGGAACAACACGGCAGAUGCGGACCUCCAGCUGGCCACGGGAAGUCCAGACCAACGGUGACCAGGGCUCAUCUGCCCAGGCCGGACAGAUGAGCGCUGGAGAGGAGGAGAGACUCAUAUGACAACCAGUAAUUACAAAUGUGCACGGCCCAGGCCUCUCGGAAUUGAGGCCAGCAGCUUCCGCAGAUGUCUGUGAUGGCCCUGAGGGUGAUAGACCACAGCAGAGUGUUUGGCAGACAGGAAAAUGUGUUUGACUAACAGGGACAGCAGGCCCUUUGUUAUCUCUUGGCCUUUGUAUUUAAGACCCAGAAGGAAGCGUUUCCAUAAUUAUUAUGCUGCUCACAUUACUGGCUGUUACAAUCCAUCAUCAUGCCCAUUUAGCCAAAGAUUCUGCUGUGUUUUCUUUCUUUUCAUCCCUCUCUCUCCACAGGGCUCCUUCUGGUUUCCCUGGCGUGCACACUUCCUCCACGUCAGGAGGACAGUCACACUACUGUGACCUUUGGAGAGGAGGCGCAGCUAAGCCGGGCUCCAGUCCCGCAUCAGUGUGCAAUUAAGGGGAGACAGCGGCUUCGAGUGAGACCAAUCUGGAGUUUCAGGAAAAUUCAAGACAGAGCAGACCUGGCCCUCACGCCUUUUCUGUUGUUCUGCUCUGCUGGACGCUGGACGCUGUCUCUGUGACCGACCACCAGUCAGAAGGCCCGGGGAGGCUGGGAGAGCAUCAGAACUGCUGAGAGCCUGGUCCUGAGGGCGCCGUAGCAACAAGAAUGCAGCUGUACCAGCUCAGGACGUGACCUCGGGAGCCUGGCCCAUCUCCACGGAGCCCUGGAGAUCAUCUCCCUGGAUCUGCGACAGCACCAGGGGCCUGGGCACGUUGGCCGGGAUGUGGCCAGGCACGUGGGGCAGUCCUGACACACCACCUGGAUGACUCCGAGGGACCCCAGCACCUCACAACCUCAUGGCGCCCCCUGAGGCAGGCACUCUCAUGACACCCACCCUGCAGAUGAGGAAACCGAGGCCCCAAGAGGUCAGGUGACUGGAGGCGACUCACCAGGUGUCCACCCUCCUGCCCCCAUUCCUGCCCCAAGACCUCCUGGACCAGGAGACACUGGAUGCCCUGAAACAGGUCCCACCUGCGCACCCAGAGCAGGAAGGGAAGACAGCGCCCCUCCCGUCGAGACGCAGUGCUUAAAUGCAUGCGUGGCAAGUGUGAGUGGUGCCUCUGCAAAGAGAAAGCGCUCGCGUUCUGACACUGUCAGGCAGACUUUUCAGUCCAUGAGGGUCUCCUGAUGUCCUGUCCUCUCCAGAGACUCCACCACCACCUGAGCCCUUGCUGGGCCACCUGCUGCCAGGCCGUGGGUGGAGAGGGGCUGCCACCAGACACCAACCCUGCUGGACACGUGCGGGGGGGCCCGUCUGCACACUCCAGUCGGGAUGAAGCGGAACAGAUGCCCUGAGACUGUCUGAGAAGAAGCCGCUGCUUUAAUUAGUGCCUCAGCUUCCACAACCAUCCCCACUGGAAGGAAGGAGCCGGAACGACUGCUGCUGGAUCCUCCUUGUUUCACUAUGCACUCAGACAACGCUCUCUUCAAACGCUUCAUUUUCAGUGAAUUGUCGCACUAAAGUCGAAAAGGCUACGUUCCUCCCCAUUUAGCAACUCAGCCAGAACAUCAUCUCAUCCUGAAGUGAUGAAAAUGUUUAACUUCUCUUCUUAAGCUCUCUCAGUGACGUUUCCUUUUGUGUUUUCACUCUGUGGGUCCUCAGCUCCACUAAGGAGAGAGGGGAGCUUCCUAAAGGUGUUUCAGCUAAAGCUUUUCCUAUUUUCUUGUAAGGAGGGGAAAUAAUCUUUUUGGAACUUAGAAACCUGGCUUGAGCCCAUAGUACCAUCUCAUCCUCUUUCUGAUUCAGCUAUGGAUUCGUAGGAUAUGGUUUCAAAUGGCGACAUGAGAUCUUGGACCACACAAACCUCCAUCCCCCCUACUGAGCAACGGGAAUCCUAAGGCCCACCUCCCUGGGCCACAAUAGAUCAUAUUCAUUUGUACAUUCAUAUAGUCGCUCGACUGUAAUUUGCUGAGCAGUGAUUGUAUGCUAGGCCCUGGGCUGAGCACCUGAAAAUGGACUACAGGGUCACAAAAUUGGGCUCCACGUGUGACCAGACCUGUGUGACUGGGAAGAGCUGAGCUGGAGUUGCUUCUCAACCCUUCUGGUCCUUGCUGCCCAGGGCCUGGGGAGACCAGCCUCAUAUGGCUCCUCUGCCCUCACCUGGAACGACACACUGGACCAAGGCAAUGGACAUGGAGACCCUGACACGAUCCCACCAUGGGAGCCACGAUACUCAGGAGAGCCAGUGAGCAGACAGACCCUCUUUCCACACUUCCUCUCCCCUGCUAGCCGUCCAAGGCACAUGACAUCAACAUGACACAAGAAGAGGAGAACCUGCAAAAAAUCAGGGCAGGAAAUUACUCGCCUGGAUUCCACUUUCCUUUCAAUCGUUCUUCUUCCAUUCUCUAAGCUCGAACUUAGCACUUGACAGAUGCAGGCAGUAUGUGCUAAGAGCUGGGCUCACAGAGCACGGGUGAGAGAAGAUACAGCUCUCCCAAGAGCCCAGAGUCUAGUACACGGAUAUCACACACAUGCCACAUGAGGAUAAUGAGGGAACACUUCCAUGUCAGCAUGGAUGACCUGGGCAAGAGGUGGCCCUGCAGUGACGGGAAGGGGGAGAUCAGCUGGUCCAGAGGCAUGAGGAGGAAAGGAGGAGAAGACAAGAUUGUCGGGAACUUGAAGGCUGACGGACAUUUGUUGGUGUUUCUGGAUCUGCACGCGGUCCGCCUUCUUCUAGCAGCUGAACCUGCGUUUUCCCUGGUGAGCCGUCACCCCUCGUCGUGCUGUGUGGUCAGGUUGACUGCUUCCUCUCCUGAUCUGAGAUGGCUGUGUGACGCAAUCUCAGCUAACUGCAUCAUUAGAUCCCCUGCCAGAGGCUGACCCGGGGCGGGGGGGGGGACAUGGAGCCCUGGGUGGACCAAUGAGACUCAGUCCUGGAGUUUUCACUGAAACUGUUGAGAAGGAAGAGUGCUGAGCUUUCUGAGAAGAUGCAGAUAUUAGAGAGAAUCAGAUCCAGGCAGCUAUCUUGGUACCCCAUGGGGAAAGCCAAGGCACAAAUGGAGAAAGCAGAUCUGAGGGAUGGAAAAAGGAAGACAAAAUCUUGAUAAUGUCAUCCGAGCCCCUAGAACGCGUCAUGCCUGAAGCCAUCACCUGGAUGCUUUUGUCAUAUGAGCAGUAAAUUCUAGUUUUUGCAACAGCUGCUUUGAGUUGUGUUUCUGCCACUUGAGAUUGAAUUAAGACAAAAUAACCUGCCUGAUAUUUUUCAAUGCCGUGUCAGAGUCUGUUUGGGGACUGGGAGUUGGAAGAAAACUCUAAUACUAGGAAUAAAGUUUUAAAACUUGCUCUGGAUCAGCAUUUCCCAGAGCUUUCUGCCAUUCUGCAGAGAAAGGGCCUUAUAUUCAAAAGCACCUUUGGGGACGCGGCUGACCAUAGGCCGCUUUCUCUUUCUCUUCCGAGGACACCCUGUGGCUUAGAGGCUUUUAUGAGCUAAUGUGUUUAUGAAGCUCAAACAGGGAGUGAGAGAUGCAGCCUUUCCCAUCCCCACUGUCUGGGGAGUUUGUUCUGGAGAACAGACUCUGGAAACACGAGUUCUUCCACUUCCACGCAUACACGUGCAUUUGGAGGCCUAUCCCUGUGAAUCCAGUUCUAUUUCUGAAAACAACCCACUUGUGGCAGCUGGGAAAGCGGGAAAUCCUCAGGGCCUGUGUCUGAUGCAGCGCCGUGGGCCCGCAGCCUCUCCCUCUGCUCCCCCUGCAGUGAAGGGUGGGGGCGAGGAGCAGACACAGCCAAGGACCCACCCUGAUUCCACCCACCGAACCUCCUGGAGGAGGGCUUCAGAGAAAUGGCUCCCGGCAAGGACACUGCAUUUCUCAGAUCCCUGGCACAGGGAGGGAGACAAAGGAACCCACUGAGGAAGUACUCGGGCUGUUAGUACCUUCAGUGGCAGGGCUCCUGCCCACCAGGGACCAUGCCCUGGGGAGUCUCAGUGGCCUCUCCAGGCCGCAGGAGGAGGGAAGGCUGCUCCUGGCUCCAGGCCCGAGCUCCUCAAGGCAGGGCCUCUGCAGGGGCCUCUGGUGGCAGAGCCAGCUCCAUGUGACCCCGAGUGUCACACCUGAUGAAUCACGUGGAGAAGAAGCUUCCUGUGCCACGUGCUCGCUUUAAAUGUCAACAGCACAACUACAUUUCGGGAAGUCUGGGCAGUGCAGGGAAACCGUGCCCGAAGCUCCGAGGCCGUAACACAAUCCCGUGUCACUUGUGCACUGCCUCUCAGAACUGAUUUCUUCAGUAAUCAUGUAUUUUGUGGCUGCAAUACUGUUUUACAAACAUAUCGCCACUGUUCCAUCUGCUUAACAUAAAAGCAUUUUUGAUGUCUUACUAUUCUAAUAACAGCGUGACUAAAAAGUGCCCAUUAGUCAAUGACCUGCUCCUACCUCAUCUCAGGAAAUCACUGGUAAAUAACCUAACUUAGUCAACCUGAUGGUCAGAAGAGGGCUAGUACCAGCCCAGGGUCUAGAGCUGACACGCAUCCGCAGCCAGGGCCCAGUGUCAGGAGAAGGACCCAGGUGCAGGGCUGGGGCCUGAGCGGGUGCAAAGAGCCGAGACCACAUGUAUCCUCUCCCGGAGGAAGCGGACGGCCCAGUUCUUGGGGAACAUAACCCGUGGACUCCAUCAGGUGGAUGCUCCAGGACCCCAUGCACGCAGCACAGCCCCAGCCCCAGGUUCUGGAGAUACUGUGAAUAACCCCAAGAGCACAGGGACCUCCAUCUCCGGAGCAGAGCAGAGGAGCGAGGAUUAGCCGGCAUCCAUUCUUGGUGAGUACUGAGAUUGGGCAUUCACUGAUCUAAGGAGUUCGGUUCCUGCCGAGUCUCUGGGCCUGACCCUCUGGAGAUGAAGCACGGGGGACUUCCAGCGCAUUGGGCAUCAGGACCCGCAGGGGAGAGACAGGACCACACCCUGGCCAACUUCAGCUGCUCUGGAGGCUUCUGCUGGAGCUGCGGCUCUUGCCGCCACGAAGAUGAGAAUGAUUACAGGAUCAGCCGGAGCAUUUCACAUGUGGCUUUCUCAUCUCCACCUGGAAUUCAUUCCCUUCUGUUCCCUCUGUCUACAGCACCAGCCAUCCUUUGUAGGGAGGACAAUUUCAGACUCUCACAAGUCCUACCUUGAUUAAAAUCUGAAAUUACACUGAAGGGGAAAUGGAAAACUGCUUCCUGGUAAGAUGCUAAAACGUCUGGAGCUGAAGCCUCACAGAGUCGUCUGAGUAAAGCCAGCUCUGUGCCAAGUCAGAGCAUGUCUGCAGCCCAGACCCACUCUCCCCAGCUCUAACCACACAUAAAUGCAAAAUUCUUCCACAGCAGGAUUUGAUGACUGUGAACUCACUCCACCACCCUCCUCCUUUCUGGGUCUCCAGAGACUUGGGACAGAAUCUGUGUAAGGCUGGGGGCCGGGUCAGAACGGCAGUGGCCUGUGUGUCUGGGAGGCACUGAGAGGCUCCUAUUUGAUCCCGACUGUGGGGCCAGACUCCCUGGUUCAAAUCCAGGCUCUACUCCAUUGCCGGGUGGUGUUGGCGAGCCAAAGCCGGCGCUAACCCAGUCGGGAGGAAGGACGUGGCUCAGGAGGCCUCACGGAGUUAAUGAUGGGAAAGCUGACAGGAAGCUGGAUGGAAGCGUCAGGCUGCCAGAACCCAGCCCAGCGCCCUACUGCAGACAGCUGACGUCAGGCCCGCGGGCUCAGGAUCCUGCAGGGGCCGCACUGGGGACACGAGAUGCUCGGCUCCAGCCAAGGGACGAGUCCAGUGCCAGGUCUUACAGUUGUUCAAGAGAAAACAAAUGUGAAGUGUUGACAUCUAACCCCAUUCCUUCUCAAACCCUGCGUGGACCAAAUCCAGCAGGUGCAGGCCAGACUGUGCCCCCGUCCUACAGGCUCUGAGCGAUGGGUGCCCCCUCACCACAGAGACCAGGGUGAGGCGAGUCCCAGGAAGGCUCCCAGCUCAG